UACGUAGGGGGCAAGCGUUGUCCGGAUUUAUUGGGCGUAAAGAGCUCGUAGGUGGUUCGGUAAGUCGGAUGUGAAAUCUCCAGGCUCAACCUGGAGGGGUCAUUCGAUACUGCCGUGACUAGAGGUCGGUAGGGGAGUGUGGAAUUCCUGGUGGAGCGGUGAAAUGCGCAGAUAUCAGGAGGAACACCGGUGGCGAAGGCGGAUCUCUGGGCCUUACCUGACGCUCAGGUGCGAAAGCUAGGGGAGCGAACAGG
rnacentral:rRNA from 1 species